UCAAGCUCUCCUGAUGAGGAUCAAUGUUUAUGUUAACAAGCCACGCAACACGAACCAGACACUCAUGUUGUUCAAUGUUCAGUAACAAUGUUUGUAUGAUUUAUCCUCAUUCUGUGCGUAGGAUCGCCGCAUGGUUGGAGGUCUGCAUGGUUGGAGGCAGAUAGAUAACACAAAUAAACGUGCUAAAGCAUUACAUUGUGUUUCUGUAUCUGCUGCAUAACACAUACAAGACCUCAUGUGAUGUCACAUGCACAAUUUCACCUACAGGGAAUAUUUGCUUCACUUCUUGUCCUGGAUACCCAUGCCCUUUUACCCAAACAAGCCCUAAUCUAAAAAAAAAAAGCAAUAGCAGUAGCCUCAUGAAUAUGCAUUUUGUCGAAACUGUGGGAGUUGACCUGGCUCCACUUGUGUUUAUAUUGCAGCAUCUGCCCUUGUCUCUCUGCCUGCGAAUGCCUGACUGGGCCUAACACUGAGAAAGAGUCAGAGAUUGGGGUCUGCUUCAAAACUGAUCAAACAACACAAUAUGGAAACUAUUGGCGAGAUCAUCCCAUUUGCUAAGGAGAUGCUAAACCAGAGGCCGAGCCGGGGUAUGUUAAAGAUCUACAUGCUCGGCUCCACUCUGGCGGUGCUCGGAGUGAUUGGUGGACUGGUGGAAACAGUUCUCCUGCCAUUUGUAGAGCAGGAGACUGUUGAGGACACACCAGUAGAGCUGAUCAUGGAGAAGAAGAAGGAGAAGAAGCAGGUGUUAAUGUCACACACUACCUUGGUUGGCCCUGAAGUUGUGGAUGUGAUGGAGACAGUAGUGAUCGAGGCCAAGGCCAAACAUCUGGCGACUUCUGGGCAGAGAAGCUCAGCCAACCGCUUACAUGCUUCUUAAAGAAACCCUCCUGAUGUAAAAGGACACGACACUUGCAAUGUUGAUGAUAAUGGUGGUAAAUUAAAUCACCAUGUUGAACCAGUCACUUUGGACUCAUUCUUUUAAUUCAGAUUUGGUUACUGUUGACUGGCAAAAGAUGAGAUGCGUAAAUACAGUGAAAACUGCAGGGUACAGUAAUGUUUGGCUGCUGGGCAGCAGAUACUUGAGGAUGUGAAAAAUGGAAUGUGUGUGGUUUGAUUCAUUUUGCACUCUAAUAAAGCAAUUUUUCAGCUAA